GUACUGGGGACACACAGAUGGAAUUAAGCAAGGCUAGAAAACGUAUUAUCUUUGAAGACAGCUAAAGGAGCAGCCCAGUGGUUUUCAAGAAGUGCUAAAGUGCACUGACUGUCUCAUGAUGACUGGUGCCUCAGGGAGGGUCAUGAUUCCUGGAUACAGGAUCGACCUGAUCCUGGAUGUCACUUCAAGCAGUCAGAUCGUGGGGAAAAGCCUUGUCUAAUGGCUAGCCUUCCUCAAAAGUCUGAUGCUAGUCAUCUCGGAAGGCCUCAGAAAAAGCCUUAAAGACCAAUGGAGAAGUAGGUUUUAUUCUUUUUCUUUUGGUAAGAAGUUGAAGAUGGACUCAAAGGUGAAGGGGCAGUAAAGUCUCCAAGGGAAGCUAGGAAAAAUAGGACAGUCUUCCCAAAUUUAAAUUGAAGUUGCAUUUCCUUUUCUGUUGGCUACGAAGAUGAUGACGUAAGAUAUUUGGGUUGGCGAUAUUACUAAAAUUAAUCAUUUAAAAUAACAAUAUGGAAAACCUCACUUGUAUUCAAGCAAAAAAUAAACUGAAUGUAAACAAUAA
rnacentral:lncRNA from 10 species